GGGGAAUAUUGCACAAUGGGCGAAAGCCUGAUGCAGCGACGCCGCGUGAGGGAUGAAGGCCUUCGGGUUGUAAACCUCUUUCAGCAGGGAAGAAGCGAGAGUGACGGUACCUGCAGAAGAAGCACCGGCUAACUACGUGCCAGCAGCCGCGGUAAUACGUAGGGUGCGAGCGUUGUCCGGAAUUAUUGGGCGUAAAGAGCUUGUAGGCGGUUUGUCGCGUCUGCUGUGAAAAUCUGGGGCUUAACUCCGGACGUGCAGUGGGUACGGGCAGGCUAGAGUGUGGUAGGGGAGACUGGAAUUCCUGGUGUAGCGGUGAAAUGCGCAGAUAUCAGGAGGAACACCGAUGGCGAAGGCAGGUCUCUGGGCCAUAACUGACGCUGAGAAGCGAAAGCAUGGGUAGCGAAC
rnacentral:rRNA from 1 species